AGUGGGGGGAAUGACGACACGUGUCACAACGACAAUGGCUUAGCUUUUUUUUUCUCCUUGACAUUUGACUGAAAUCGCUCAAUCUAUUCUCCCCCUUUCGUUUGCCCUACUCUGUUCACAUCCCAUCUAAUCUUUGCUUUGAAUUCACUUCUCAUCGUUAACUCACUCCUUCAAUCUCUCCCACUACGCUGAAUUCAGUUACCUCCUUCCCAAUCGUUUAGAUGACCUAUUUUUUCUACAAAUCUACAAAUCUCGCUGCUUCAAUAGAAUCUAACCUAUUUCUUUCUUACAACACUACCUGAAACAAUGGGGUCUUCCCAAAUCUUUUUCUCUGAUGUUAAGUCGGGUCGUUGUUCCCAUUUCGUCAUCACGCCCCUCCUCCGCUUAAGGGAAACACAUAACGUGAAGAAAGGUGGGGAGCAAUGGGAGUUGACAUGUUCCGCCUUGAUCAAAAGUCAAUGCUUCUACAAGGGUCCAUCAAUGUUCAUUGCUUUAGCAAUUUCAGACAUCUUUUGAAAGAGUGGGCAAUUUACAAAAUCAGUGGGCAAUUUCAGACAUCUUUUGAAAGAGUGGGCAACAGCCAUUUCUUUGUUUUUUGAAGUCCAGACGUUGUUCUCAGACGGGGAUGACGAGUCUCCAGCGUUUCUGGAAUCACUACAUCUGAUAUGGUAGAAGAAAUAUUUGUGUCAGCUGAGGCCAACGUAAUGAGUAAUGUUCCUGAAAGCAAAAUUAUCAAAGCCCCAAAAGCUGGAGCCAAAGCUUCUAAAAAAGCAAUAUAAAUAUGGACAGAAAACGGUUUCUCUAAGUCCAAAACCCAUGUAGUUUAGUUAAAUAAGUAUUCUCUCCAACUCUACUCCCUAUGCAAUAUAUCAUCAAUAUUAACAGCCUCUGACAGAACCUUCAGUAAAGGAAGAUGGCCAUCAAUAUGCAAAUAACAGAGCCGUGUAUCAUGUAUCUUUCUUUGUCCCAAUAGAUAUAUCAUUGGUCGAGAGAUGAGCUCUUUUGGAGGCUAUGUUCUCAGCGGCAUCAGAGUCUCUGCCACUUGAUUAUUAUCUCCAAACCUCAUUCUCUUAUUAUAUUUUCAAUAACAGAGGUUUGCUGUUUGAUCUUUACCCCAUCAAAAUAUUGAUUAUUGGCAUUUUGGCUCUUACUUUAUGAUUAAUAUUCUCAUAAUCUAAUGGGAGGCUUGCCCGUCAGCAACGAAGAAUAAUCCGCGCAAGUUGCGAGGCACCCCAGCAAGACAUACAAUACACCCAAGACACUAUCCUUCCUGCUCAAGAUGACAACAUCUAUGUUGCUGACUCAGAGCGAGCUAACAGGAGGACAUGUAUUCCUCUGGAGGACAUGUAUCUAAACAACAUGGCAAGACUCAAACCACCACGAAGUUGCGACCUCCCAAACGUCCAACAUCUAUGCAAGAAUUGUUACUAAUUCUUAAGACUGGAGAAAUUUGUCCACUACAUUACUCAGAGAUAGAAAGUUAUGUUUUUGUUUACUAACCUUUUUAAGACCAAGAGGAGUUUAUAAUACUUCUACAAAGUUGCUUUUUUUUGGUAAAAUACGUCUACCAAGUAAAUUUAAAAUAAAGAUUGAAUUAUUCUGCA